ACGGAAGGCAGCAGUGGGGAAUAUUGGGCAAUGGGGGAAACCCUGACCCAGCAACGCCGCGUGAAGGAAGAAGGCCUUCGGGUUGUAGACUUCUUUUACCAGGGACGAUAAUGACGGUACCUGGAGAAAAAGCAACGGCUAACUACGUGCCAGCAGCCGCGGUAAUACGUAGGUUGCAAGCGUUGUCCGGAUUUACUGGGUGUAAAGGGCGUGUAGGCGGAGCUGCAAGUCAGAUGUGAAAUCCCGGGGCUCAACCCCGGAACUGCAUUUGAAACUGUAGCCCUUGAGUAUCGGAGAGGCAAGCGGAAUUCCUAGCGUAGCGGUGAAAUGCGUAGAUAUUGGGAGGAACACCAGUGGCGAAGGCGGCUUGCUGGACGACAACUGACGCUGAGGCGCGAAAGCGUGGGGAGCAAACAGGAUUAGAUACCCUGGUA
rnacentral:rRNA from 1 species